UCCCUCUCAGGUGACCAGGAGCCACUUGACCAGCCCCCAAGGCCGGAGAGGCAGCAGCAGCCGCCAGCUGGCGCACAGGACUGUCCUCGGUGUCUCAUGCUACAGAGAGAAAUAGACGAUCUUAAAGAGCAGCUUGCGGCCAUGCGGUCCCUGACUGACAAGUUCCAGAGCCUUUGAAGUUGAGCCCAGCAUCUCUGCGCACGAGGAGCAGCUGGUGCCUUUGGAGCCAGGGAGCUGUGGCCAAGCCGGUUCCCUCCUGUUCGACCUCGGCCAAGACUUCCUCUGCCUGUUCUUUUGCCCCCUCCCCAGCCCUGUUCACAGCAGUU